GGGGUCAGCAUUAAUAGUAUCAUUAUUAUUCUACACUCCCUUCAACCUCACUUCCUUCCACAGCUACCCUGGCUGAAAGAGAAGACAUCCAAUGAGUUAAUAUGUGUAAGAAAUGUAAAGGUAUACAAAAAGAAAAGCAGUGAAUCGACGAGCAUGUGAUGAUGGAGAAUUACCAGUCCCUUCGAUCUCUGGGUCAGUGUAAGGUGAAAAUAUUUAACUUUACGCAUAAAAAACGUAUCAGGCUGAGACCUCCUACAGUUAUAUCAAAGGCUGACUAUGGAGAAAAGUCCUGCAUACGAGGCCAAGAACCUAUAAAAGAAGAGGACAUUUAUUUAAAUACUUGUAAAGGUUCCUUGCUAAUCUAGUUUGGACAAAAAUCGAAGGGCCCGCAUUUUCCUACAUUUUUGCCCACGUUUUCUCUCAUUCAUUCUUGCUCAUUCUCUCACCCACGCUAAAUGUUACCCUACCUUCCCUGCCUACCACUUCUGCAGUUUUUGGUUCUCAAGCACAUCAUUUGAACACAGAUACAAAAUAUUAUUCACCAAACAUUUAUUUUAAUAAUUGUUAUCUUAAUACACUUACUAGGGUUAUUUUAUCUUUGCUAACAGAGGAAAUAGUGAGCAAGAGAACGUUUGAACUAGAGACAGUGUCCUCUGACAGUGGUCUGUCAGACUGUGAGAAGAAAGAUAUUGUUGACCAAACCACACAACUACAACGUUAUCCUAGUAGAACUAACUCAUGCAGAAAAUAUCUCUCUAUGCAAGAGAGUGCCGGCACCAAGAAGAAGUCCUUUAAAUGUCCUGACUGUGGUAGAGCUUUCACCUGUAAUUCCAAUCUUAUUACCCAUCGGAGGACACACACAGGGGAGAAGCCAUAUGUGUGCUCGGAAUGUGGAAGACAGUUCGGACAGAGCUCCAAUCUGGUCAGACACCAGAUUAUCCACUUCAGGGAUAAACAUUUUAUAUGUUCUGAGUGUGGGGAAAGCUUUAGCCUAGUCUCUAGUCUGGUUACACACCAGAGGAUUCACAUAGGAGAGAAGCCAUUUGUAUGUUCUGAGUGCGGGAAAUGUUUCAGCUGCAAAUCACAUCUGGUUAUACAUGGAAGGACCCACACUGGGGAGAAGCCUUUUGUAUGUUCAGAGUGCGGGAAAUGUUUCACCCACAGUUCAAAUCUUAUUCGCCACCAGAGUACGCACACUGGGGAAAGACCGUUUUUAUGUUCUCAGUGUGGGGAAUGCUUCAGCUGUAACUCCAGUCUGGUUCGACACGAGCGGGUCCAUACUGGGGAGAAACCAUUUGCGUGUACUGAAUGCGGGAAAUGUUUCAGCCGGAGCUCGCACCUUGCUCGCCAUCAGAAAAUUCACACCUGAAGGGACUACUUGCAUUCGAUAUAUGAGUGUGGGUGUUUGAGAUUAUUUUGGGUGGGCUCACCUGUGUAUGAGUCUGCCUAAACUAUUACAAGUAGUGAGGGCAGGCCAUGGACAGAUAUCCCAUAAUGCAGAUGAGGUGCUUGAAUACACAGUGC